rnacentral:rRNA from 1 species
UACGUAGGGUGCAAGCGUUAAUCGGAAUUACUGGGCGUAAAGCGUGCGCAGGCGGUCUUGCAAGACAGAUGUGAAAUCCCCGGGCUCAACCCGUGGGAACUGGCAUUUUGUGACUGCAAGGCUAGAGUACGGUAGAGGGGGAUGGAAUUCCGCGUGUAGCAGUGAAAUGCGUAGAUAUGCGGAGGAACACCGAUGGCGAAGGCAAUCCCCUGGACCUGUACUGACGCUCAUGCACGAAAGCGUGGGGGAGCAAACAGG